UAAACUCCAUGUUCCUCCUACUCCUGUUCCUCUUCCUCAUACCCGUACUCAUACUCCUGCGAUUUCUUACUAUGUUCUUCUUCUUCUUCAUUAUCAUCAUCGUUGGUCAACUGUUCGAUCUAUAAUCGUCCUUUCUCUCUUUCUACAUCUACCAACAGAGGAAGCUGAUUUUGCGUGAUUUCAAGAUGGAAUAGAUGAAGAAGAGAUGAUUAUGCUGAGUAACAGAUGUCAUGGAAACGAGUAGUGGAGAUGGGUUUAAUGGCAAGCCGCUGUAGUUCAUGUUGGAAGUGAUACAGAGAUAAAGAAGGGAAAUGGAAAGCUAUAGAAGAGUACCGAUUGAUGCACAACAACACCACCAGGUUGUGUAUGCAAAAUGUUCGAUGUAAUGCAUGAUACACUAGUCUCGAGUAUGAUGGGUUUAUUUAAUUUUCUAAAAAAUAUUAUGCAGGCCUCAGGAUGAAGGGAUGUAUGUGAUAUGUAUGUUGCUGCUGCUGCUAAUGGAUACUUGGAGUAACAAGCUUUUUGUACCUAAUUUGGAUCAUGGUGUUUCUGUUGGAUAUUGGAGUGUUUUGUGUUGUUAUCUGGACUUGCUUCUAUGAUAUUCUGAAUUUGAAAUUUCAAUUAGAUGUUACUCA